AUCCAGCUGACGAGUCUCAAAUAGGACGAAAUGUGCGUUGUGGAU
rfam:Schistosoma curassoni strain Dakar, Senegal genome assembly, scaffold: SCTD_contig0000103